rnacentral:rRNA from 1 species
CCUACGGGAGGCAGCAGUGAGGAAUAUUUGUCAAUGGACGAGAGUCUGAACCAGCCAAGUAGCGUGAAGGAUGACUGCCCUAUGGGUUGUAAACUUCUUUUAUAAAGGAAUAAAACGAGGCACGUGUGCCUUUUUGCAUGUACUUUAUGAAUAAGGAUCGGCUAACUCCGUGCCAGCAGCCGCGGUAAUACGGAGGCGCCGUGCGUUAUCCGGAUUUAUUGGGUGUAAAGGGAGCGUAGAUGGGUUGGUAAGUCAGUUGUGAACGUUUGCGGCUCAACCGUAAAAUUGCAAUUGAUACUGGCAGUCUAGAGUACAGUUGAGGUAGGCGGAAUUCGUGGUGUAGCGGUGAAAUGCUUAGAUAUCACGAAGAACCCCGAUUGCGAAGGCAGCUUACUAAACUGUGACUGACAUUGAUGCUCGAAAGUGAGGGUAGCAAACAGGAUUAGAUACCCCGGUAGUC